rnacentral:rRNA from 1 species
UGAGGAAUAUUGGACAAUGGGGGCAACCCUGAUCCAGCCAUGCCGCGUGAGUGAAGAAGGCCUUAGGGUUGUAAAGCUCUUUCAAUAGUGAAGAUAAUGACGGUAACUAUACAAGAAGCUCCGGCUAAAUUCGUGCCAGCAGCCGCGGUAAUACGAAUGGAGCAAGCGUUGUUCGGAAUCACUGGGCUUAAAGCGUAUGCAGGCGGACUCGCAAGUCAGGAGUGAAAUCCCGAGGCUCAACCUCGGAACUGCUCUUGAAACUGCAAGUCUAGAAUACUGGAGAGGUCGGGAGAAUUCCUAGUGUAGAGGUGAAAUUCGCAGAUAUUAGGAGGAAUACCAGUGGCGUAGGCGCCCGACUGGACAGUUAUUGACGCUCAGAUACGAAAGCGUGGGGAGCAAACAGGAUUAGAUACCCCCGUAGUCC